UUCGCACAGGCAAAAGAGACAUAUUCUGAGCGUGAGAAUCAGGACUAUUGCUCAAUACAAGCCGUUUCGAUCUAGCCAGCUGUGGGCCGAUGUUGUCCUUAGAAGCAUGCGUCAUCUAUUAAAGAGAACAGCAGAUUGAGAGAGUAAAAGAGAGGGAGGGGCAGACGGGGAGAAGGAGGGAGACAGUAGAAUCCUCCCCAGGGAGAGAGAAUGACGUCACUGAUCUAGGCAUCAAGUCUACCCCUCUCUCUUCUCUCUCUAUCUCUACCGAAACGAAGGAGGGAAGACGACAGGGAGGAAGGAGAGAAGACUGGAGGAAAGAGAGAAAGAAAGACAGAGGGGGGGGACAAAAGAAGAAUAUUCCGGAUAAGAAAAAGGACAAUGUCCGUUUCUUCAGAAAAUUACAGAGGCUUCGAGGAUAUACCCGCUUUGUGGCUCCUUUAAUAGGACAUGUGUUACUUAAGUAGUUUUGGGGGGUAUCUGCAUUUUACUUUACUGUUUAUAUAUUUUUAUUUACUCCAUUAAAUUCCGAAAGAAAAUAUAGACUUAUUACCCCCAUAGACUUUCCCUGACAUCCAAAAGUACUCGUUACAUUUCGAAUGCCCGGGCACCACAGAAUUAUGGUCCAAUAAUAUGAAUCUAUCAAUUUAACGUGUUGUAAUCCCUAUUGCCUCUGACCUGGCGUACUCACGAAACACAAAUACUGCGUUUGUAAAUCAUGUCUGAGUGUGCCCAUGUCUGUCCAUAAAAAAUAUUAAGUAGA